UCCGACCUCAGAUCGGGCGAGAUU
rnacentral:rRNA from 4 species